rnacentral:lncRNA from 1 species
CUUACAUAUAAACAUCACUGACAUUGCACAAGCAGAAUUCAGAGGGGAACUGAUUACAUCAUACACUGUUAUGUUGCACAUUCCAAAUGUUCUCACAGAAUUCUGGCUAAACAAGGAUUUAAGCUAAUUUGUUAAAAAAUGGGACAACUGCUUUUGCAGAGCAGCAGGUGCUACAUACAGUCAGGAACAGUACUGAAAUCUUUUAUUUAACUGUUGUUGUUAUUAUUAUUAUUAUUAUUAAUAUUAUUUUAAUUUUGAGAAAAAAAAUUGUAGAACUACAAUUUUAUUGAACCAAUUAAAAUUAAGGUUUCUGAUGGCAAAACUGCAAACAUACAUCAGAAAGCUGCCUCUCUUUUCUUUCAUUGCUCCAGCACUGCUGUAGGUGAUUUUUGGUCAGUGUGACUCAACAGUAAUUAUUAUUUAUUUAUUAAUAUAGUUUCCUCCAUAGUAACCCAUCCAAAUCAAACUGUAGUGAACUUCUAAUAGUAGACUAUUAAAUCACCGGUGAACAGUGAUGAUGAUAUUAAGCACAAGAGCUGCCAACAGCAGUUUUUCGUAGGGUUAUUUGUGGCUUGUCUGAUUCUAUGUCGUGCCCUUGAACUGAUUGUUUUAGGACGCCCACUCUUAGGGAAAGUAGAAGUAGUUCUGUAUUUCUAUUUGCCCGACUAUGUAGCCAGAUGGAGGCUCAAGUCUUUAGAAAUCCUUUCGUAAUCUGUUCUUAUCUUUUAAGUCUCAACAACUCUUGGUAUGAAGACCUUUGAAAUCUCUUUUGAUGGGGCCAUAUUGCAUUUGAACACAAUUCUGUAUAGAACAGGAUGCUGGAGGAUGUGGAAAUCUGUCAGUGCGGUCACAACUCAAAUCUCCAACCAAUUCCAUAUGUUGCCUGACACUACCUGCCAGCUUGAACACUUCUAAUAUCAGAGUUCACUGGGAGGAUAAAAAGAAAAACCUGAUUAGAGAACUGUUUCCCAAAUGGCCUCCCACGCACUCACCUUGGUAAAAGAAAAGAAAACAUUAGGGAAACUAAUCGGCAAGGACUAAACGGAUUGCCAGGCACAUGUGUUCAUCUUAAUGCUUAAUAAAGCUGGCAUAAAGCUGAGAUAAGGCAGGAAAAGCUAGAGUAUUUCACACUGUACUGAAUCUAAAUAAUGGUGCCACAAACUCUAUAUUAUGACUGUGGUGUUUUACCUGAACCCGCGCUGUGGGUCGCAACAUCUGUAAAUCUCACAGUCGUGAAUUUCUCACCGCUCUGAAGGUCAUACGUAGUCACCUCAGAUUGAUUGCAAUUAGUAUGGCCCAGCAGCCUAAUGAGAAUGCAGGAGUGCAGCAGAGCUGAGCUCAGGGACCUGUCUGGAAAAGGGGCUGUUGAUAUUUAGGGCUAAUUUGUUAAUGAAAAUUCUUAGUAAUAUUUGAAAUAAAACCACUGUAGAAUAUUGUACCUGGCAUGAAAUAAGACAGUCUUGGGCUGUGCUCUCACACCACUUAGAGGCAGCGUUAGCGCAAUUGGUCCUGCUGCAAUCCAAAUGCUUUUUUCCGCAUGAAUAAUGACUUUGAGGUUAUCAUAGCAUCUUGCGUGCACAAAGAUAUUAGAGGCACGCUAUUGAAAAUGAGAUCGAAAGUCUCUGUAUUCUAAGGCAAAUCCUAAAGGCAGACAGGCAUCAAGUACUCAAAUCGUUCUAACUGAAUCGGCUGGGGUAACAAUAAGAAGACACAAAAGCCCCAGUAAAUGCACAAGUCAUUGAAAUGCGGGCCAAGAUGGAUGGCAGUCAUUACUGCAGAUCUGUAUGUAUUUCAUGGGGCAUUUAUUGUCUAAAGCUGAAACGGCCACUGCAGUACUCCCACCUCUUUGUAGAAUGUGAAGGCAAAUCUAAUAUAAGGCAAAGGCUCUCUAGAUACACAUUGUAAGCUAGUGUUGAGGGGCACAAUUGCUCUCCGGCCGACUGGAGAAAGAAAGCUAUCUUACAAUUCAAAGAGACACGAGGGCCGGACAGCGCUGCCCAGGUUAUAAAAUGCUCGGGGAGAAAAAAAAUAAUUUCAUGUUUGUGGAGCUUUGAUUAAAGUCCCUCCUUUCCCUCAACUCUUGCUGCGAGUGUGAGCUUGGCACGACUUAAGAAAUCUCACUUGGACACAUGGCUAGGUGUGGAGGUUGCAGGUGUUGAUUAGACGUCAGGUUCGCUUUAGGAGGUGGAACGGUGCGUGAACUGGGCAUUCUUGCACUUUUGCAGGUUUGAGAAAGCACCAGUCACUCCUGCCACUGUGGAGUAAAAUACAAAAUACAUAAAGGUAAUCAAAAGCUUUGAUGAUGCACAACCUGAGCUUCGC